UAGGAUUAUAUAGACCACCAGGCUGUGGGUUGGGCCAACAUAGGACAAGCAUGAUUUAAGGUCCGACGGAUAUAGGGAAAGAUAUGCAGCAAGUAAUGGGCAUUCUAAAAUAACUGCUGGCAGAUCUUACCACAAAUCAUUUGAUGAUGCAGUGGCGCAGAAUCGUCUAUCCCAUGACGCAUUGCCUUUCUCUAAUGUAAAAAACAAGAACAGAUCUGGAGAUUUUAGUAGAUGUCUAGACAACCUUCUGACAUCAAUAAACAACCUAACUCAAAGAGAGCUACUG